rnacentral:lncRNA from 1 species
GCCCUUCAAGAAAUAGGCUUGACCAAACAUCCAAAUAAAACUUGGGCAGACAUUGCCUCAGAAUCAGAUGAUAUAUAUGUUGAGUAGGGAUAAGAUAUAUGUGUACUUAAAAGAAAUUUUUUCCUCAAAAUUUACUUGCACAAAACAACAUUGGAUAUGACUUUCUCAUUUGAUUCUACAGCUUCUAAGUCACAUUGUCC